GUAUCCAUAUCUGAAUUCAUAGGAUAUGAGAAGGCAGACCCGGGGAACUGAAACAUCUAAGUACCCGGAGGAAGAGAAAGCAAAUGCGAUUCCCUGAGUAGCGGCGAGCGAAACGGGAUUAGCCCAAACCAAGAGGCUUGCCUCUUGGGGUUGUAGGACACUCUGUACGGAGUUACAAAGGAACGAGGUAGAUGAAGAGGUCUGGAAAGGCCCGCCAUAGGAGGUAACAGCCCUGUAGUCAAAACUUCGUUCUCUCC
rnacentral:rRNA from 1 species